rnacentral:rRNA from 1 species
CAUGGGCGUAGCUUUGUGGGCCUUCCUAUGUUUUAUCACAAACUACUGUUUAAAGAAUGUCUACUGCGUGUAACGCAUUUAAAUACAACUCUCAGCAACGGAUCUCUUGGCUCUCGCAUCGAUGAAGAACGCAGCGAAAUGCGAUAAGUAAUGUGAAUUGCAGAAUUCAGUGAAUCAUCGAAUCUUUGAACGCACCUUGCGCUCCUUGGUAUUCCGAGGAGCAUGCCUGUUUGAGUGUCAUGGAAUUCUCAACUCCAUUCGCUUUUGUGAAUGGAGCUUGGACUUGGAGGUUAUUGCCGGACUUUAUUGUUUCGGCUCCUCUUGAAUGCAUUAGCUCGAGCCUUUGUGGAUCAGCUUCGGUGUGAUAAUUGUCUACGCCGUUCUGUGAAGCAUACAUAAUGGGUUUCGGCUUCCAAUCGUCCUUUGCGGGACAAUACACUAUGACCUUUGACCUCAAAUCAGGUAGGGUUACCCGCUGAACUUAAGCAUAUCAAUAAGCGGAGGAAAAGAAACUAACAAGGAUUCCCCUAGUAACUGCGAGUGAAGCGGGAAAAGCUCAAAUUUAAAAUCUGGCGGUCUAUGGCCGUCCGAGUUGUAGUCUGGAGAAGCGUCUUCCGUGC